rnacentral:lncRNA from 1 species
UUUAUGCCUUUUUCAACCUCAGCCUGGUCAUGAGUCUCUUCAAGAGGUGACUGGCCCUUCCGUGAGCUGCUGGGACCCUCAAGGCUUGGGAUCUGGUUCAGCCCCCUGUAACCCCAGGGUGGUGGGGGUGCCCCCACCAUAUUGCUGCCCCAAGGGGCUGGGGUGGGCUCAGGCAAGGCCUGGGGCCCUGGCCUUCUUCCUGGCAGGGGGAGGCAGGGGACUGUGCAGGGGCUCAGGGAGGCCUCCCCCACCUGCCCCCUGACCACACCCACUCUGAUGAGGCUCAUGGCCUCCUGGCAGGUCGACGGAGGAGAUCAUCGCCCUCUUCAUUUCCAUCACGUUUGUGCUGGAUGCCGUCAAGGGCACGGUUAAAAUCUUCUGGAAGUACUACUAUGGGCAUUACUUGGACGACUAUCACACAAAAAGGACUUCAUCCCUUGUCAGCCUGUCAGGCCUCGGCGCCAGCCUCAACGCCAGCCU